rnacentral:lncRNA from 1 species
GGGAAAGGGAGGAGCCGGUGUCUAGUCAAAGCUCAGCUCUUGUCCCCAGCCCCUCCUCUCCACUCUGCCUCUUCUGAAACUCUGAGGGCAGUUUUGUACCCUACCCCAGCUUCCAAUGUGGUGGGAGACCUCAGCAGUGGGAGAGUUGGGCUGCAGAUGCUCUGAUCCUUUGACACCUGGACUUGAGGUGCCUAAGACCCCAAAACGAAAAAUGAAAGUGCUCCCAGCCCCAAGGAGGUUUUUUUUGCAGGGGGUGAAGAUGCAGCUUCUGGGUCAAGAUGUCUCUGGGCUCUCGAAAUUCUUCUUAUUAAAUACGUGGUUACUUGUUUACACAACAUAUGCCUAACUUUGGGAGCCCACCAACAUCACCAUCUUACUAAGAGACUGAUUUAAUGAGAUGGAACAACUUACACCCCUUAUCAGCAGGAGGAAGCUAGAGCAGUUAUCACCCUAUGUCCCUCAAGAUUGCAGAAUGAAGAACAAAAAGGGAGGAUUUGUAACCAUGGGUCUUCUAGGACCAGUUCAACUGACCCCAUCUCUUAUCAAAAGAGUGAUUAAGAAUUGCCUUCCAGAAAAUUCAAAGUCACGUAGCCAGAGCAUGCACAGAAGAAGAAAUCUUGACCUGAAGUGACCGCAGAACCAAAGAUUCUCAUCCCCAUGGGACUCAGAGACCAAGACAUGACCAGAACUUAAACAUCAGACUCUUACCAGAAGCCAGGGGUGCCUCAUUCAGAAAGAACCGGUGUCAAAAUUCCUUCCCCACCUCAUCAUAAAUGUUUAGAACCCUAUCAUAAAAGUUUAGAACUUCAUCAUAAAUGUUCAGAACACUGUCAUAAAUGUUUAGAACUUUACCAUAAAUGCUUGAAGCCUACCAAUGAAAACCUAUCCCACCAGUGUUUCCAUGUGACAGCCUAUUCUCCCUAACCUCUUAAAUUUCACCCCAAAUCCUGAAUCAGGGAGACAUAUCUGAGGCCACAUGGCCCCUGUCUCCCUGCAGAUCAAUCCCACAGAAUAAAGCUGAUUUCUCUCC